rnacentral:lncRNA from 1 species
ACUGUUUUUUGUUUUGUUUUGUUUUAACAUUUAUUUAUCAUUGAGAGACAGACACAGAGCGUGAGCCGGAGAGGGGCAGGGAGAGAGGGAGACACAGAAUCCGAAGCAGGCUCCAGGCUCCGAACUGUCAGCACAGAGCCCCACGCUGAGCUCGAACUCACAAACUGGGAGAUCAUGACCUGAGCCGAAGUCGGUCGCCUAACCAACUGAGCCACCCAGGCGCCCCGAACUCACCGUCUGUUUUAAUGCACUUGCACUCAGCCUCACCAAGUGGACUCUGACCAGCAACUAAGGCACCAUUUGGACAGCAGGUUUCAAGCCCGUCCCUUACUAGAGACAGCACUGCAGCGAAGGGGUGGGUGCUCCGUGGGAGGUCCCGUCCUAGGGAGGCGGAGGACACACGGACUCAUCAGCCUCCCCAGGACAGCGUGCCUUCUGCGAAACAGACAGGGGGAACGAUGUCAGAGCUCCGCACUGGGCCACCUGUCUGGAGUAGGUGGGUCACCUUCUAGAAGGACCGCCACGCAUUAUGCCAAGACUUGUCUCCGACUCCGCUUCAGCCUGCCCUUUGUGGACACGGUGCAGAGCCACUCGAGUGCCCUACACAGAUCAGUGGAGACGGACAGAGAAUCUGGGACUGACCCACACUUACAGGAUCAACUCCGGUUUGACGAAGGCUCCAGGACAGUCCGAUGUGGGAAAACAUGGUCCUUUCAACAGAAAGUGAUGGGGAAAGUGGACAUCCAUAUGGCCAAAAAAAUAACGUUGAUCCUUGCUUCACACGGUGCACGACAUAAAUUCCAAAUGGGUCACGUACAUAAUCAUAGAAUCAAACGUGUAGGAGAAACAUGGGAUAAAACAUGCCCUGUGUGUGUCCGGAUGUGCACGCAGUGGAGACGCAUACUUCACAACUUAAUACGGAAUAUACACAGAACUGUUUCCACAAUAACACAAACAAGUCCCCAAGAUGAUGGGAAGACACUUCCCAAAAAAUGCACGGUUGCCCAGUAAGUACACAGAAAUGCUCAACGUAUUAGUCGCCGGAGAAAUCUAAAUUAAAACCGCGAGAUCCCACUAAACACCCACGUGAAUGACCACAGUGAAAAAGACAGACGCGCCACACGGCGAGGCUUUGGAGCAGUGGGGACUCUCCUACGCUGCUCACGGGAGCGGUGCUCACACUUUGCAAAACUACUUUCAUCAGUUUCUUUUAAAAGUUAAAAUACAGGGGGCGCCCGGAUGGCCCAGUUGGUUAAGUGUCUGACUCUUUGUUUCGAUUCGGGUCCUGAUUCGUGAUUUGUGAGAUCGAGGCCCGCGUCGGGCUCUACGCUGACAGCACAGGGCCUACUUGGGAUUCUGGCUCUGCCCCUCCGCUGCUCGUGCAUGCACAGACGCACGCGUGCCCUCUCUCUCUCAUAAAGAAAUGAAAGUUAAAAAAGGAAAUGAACUCGCAAUCCUACUUUUAGGGUUGCCAAAACCAAUGAAAUAUACGUGCACACGCAUGUGUACGUAAAUGUUUACAGCAGUUUUAUUCAUCAUAGCCAAACUUGGAAAAAAAACACAAACAUCAACUAAGAUAUCUCUACAGUGUAAUAUUACACAUCUAUUAAAAAUGGACUUCUGACACACAUAAUAUCCACGAAUAGCAAAAUUGAUAUGUUGUGCAAAAGCCAGACAGAAAAGAAUACAUAUAAUUCAACACGUAUGAAACUCUGGAUGAGAUAAAUCUAAC